AACGGCCGCGGUAUUCUGACCGUGCAAAGGUAGCAUAAUAACUUGUCAUUUAAAUGAUGACUAGUAUGAAUGGCAAAACGAAAACUUUACUGUCUCCCUUAUUUAAUCAAUGAAACUGAUCUUCUCGUACAAAAGCGAGAAUAUAAAUACAAGACGAGAAGACCCUAUGGAACUUUAAACUCAUUAUUAACUAUUAUAAUAACAAUAAUAACUUAACUAACCGUUUUCGGUUGGGGCGACCACGGAGCAUAAAAACCCUCCGAGAAAAACAACCUAGGUUACACACCAAAGUAAUAAAAUAUUUAAAUAAUUGACCCAAUAAAAUUGAUCAACGGACCAAGUUACCCUAGGGAUAACAGCGCAAUCUUAUCUUAGAGUCCAUAUCGACGAUAAGGUUUACGACCUCGAUGUUGGAUCAGGAUACCCAAACAGU
rnacentral:rRNA from 1 species